rnacentral:rRNA from 1 species
AUUGAACGCUAGCGGCAUGCCUAACACAUGCAAGUCGAACGAGUGGCGGACGGGUGAGUAAUAUCUCGGAACGUGCCCGGUGGAGGGGGAUAACUACUCGAAACAGUAGCUAAUACCGCAUACCAUUAGAUGUGCCCAUAUGGGAUUAGCUAGUUGGUGGGGUAACGGCUCACCAAGGCAACGAUCCGUAGCUGGUUUGAGAGGAUGACCAGCCACACUGGAACUGAGACACGGCCCAGACUCCUACGUGAGGCAGCAGUGGGGAAUAUUGCACAAUGGGCGAAAGCCUGAUGCAGCCAUUCCGCGUGUAUGAUGAAGGCCUUCGGGUUGGAAAGUACUUUCAGCGGAGAGGCGUUAUCUGCAGAAGAAGCACCGGCUAACUCCGUGCCAGCAGCCGCGGUAAUUC